UGAGGAAUAUUGCGCAAUGGGCGGAAGCCUGACGCAGCGACGCCGCGUGGGGGAUGAAGGCCUUCGGGUUGUAAACCUCUUUCAGCGCCGAAGAAGCGUGAGUGACGGUAGGCGCAGAAGAAGCACCGGCUAACUACGUGCCAGCAGCCGCGGUAAUACGUAGGGUGCAAGCGUUGUCCGGAAUUAUUGGGCGUAAAGAGCUCGUAGGCGGUUUGUCGCGUCUGCUGUGAAAACUCGGGGCUUAACUCCGGGCUUGCAGUGGGUACGGGCAGACUGGAGUGCGGUAGGGGAGACUGGAAUUCCUGGUGUAGCGGUGAAAUGCGCAGAUAUCAGGAGGAACACCGGUGGCGAAGGCGGGUCUCUGGGCCGUAACUGACGCUGAUGCACGAAAGUGUGGGGAUCAAACA
rnacentral:rRNA from 1 species